AAUUACUUUUGCACCAACCUAAUACUUACCUUCUUUUGUAGAUGAGCAUCUCAGCAUUUCAGAGGCGAAGAAACUGGCCUAGCCACCACGUGGUGGCACUUGCAGCCUGAGUCAGCAGAUCCCCAGGCAAAUGAAGACUCUGAGAUGAAGACAGCUGAGCGCACGAUGGGGUAGGUCAGCCUCCCUCAUGGAAAUUCUGUGUGCCUGAGGCCCACCCUUCCAGUGCAGAUGGAGGGAUGGGAUGGAAAUGAAUCUAGGGGAACGCAUCCCAGCUGUGAUCCAGCCACCUCUGCGUUUGAAGGCUGGGGGUUAUUCCCUCCUCAUGGUUGCCAUGCAUUCCUAUGUUUGCAUGUCAUGCUUGGAACUGCCGCAGCCACUUUGUGACAGCCUGAGAAUGAAUCCAGCGCUAAAAUCAGUCUAGCAAAAGGAGGAGAAACACCUGGGUCUCCAUGAUGUCACUGAGCAAGUGAAUUGACCAGCUGUGAGGACUGGUGUCCUUAUAAUGAAA
rnacentral:lncRNA from 1 species